rnacentral:ncRNA from 1 species
GGGUGUCGGGCUGCACACCGCGGUCGUCAGAUAGGCAUGAGGUGGUCGGGCCGCCACCU